AGAGUUUGAUCCUGGCUCAGAUUGAACGCUGGCGGCAUGCCUAACACAUGCAAGUCGAGCGGCAGCGCGGGGGCAACCCUGGCGGCGAGCGGCGGACGGGUGAGUAAGGCAUCGGAAUCUGCCCUGAUGUGGGGGAUAACGUAGGGAAACUUACGCUAAUACCGCAUACGACCGAGAGGUGAAAGCGGGGGACCGAAAGGCCUCGCGCAGCAGGAUGAGCCGAUGUCCGAUUAGCUGGUUGGUGGGGUAAAGGCCUACCAAGGCGACGAUCGGUAGCUGGUCUGAGAGGAUGAUCAGCCACACUGGGACUGUGACACGGCCCAGACUCCUACGGGAGGCAGCAGUGGGGAAUAUUGGACAAUGGGGGCAACCCUGAUCCAGCAAUGCCGCGUGUGUGAAGAAGGCCUUCGGGUUGUAAAGCACUUUUAUCGGGAGCGAAACGCGCCAGACUAAUAUUCUGGUGAACUGACGGUACCCGAGGAAUAAGCACCGGCUAACUCCGUGCCAGCAGCCGCGGUAAUACGGAGGGUGCAAGCGUUAAUCGGAAUUACUGGGCGUAAAGCGUGCGUAGGCGGUAAGUUAAGUCUGCUGUGAAAUCCCUGGGCUCAACCUGGGAAUGGCGGUGGAUACUGGCUUGCUGGAGUACGGUAGAGGAAGGUGGAAUUCCCGGUGUAGCGGUGAAAUGCGUAGAGAUCGGGAGGAACAUCAGUGGCGAAGGCGACCUU
rnacentral:rRNA from 1 species